GACGAACGCUGUCGGCGCGCCUAACACAUGCAAGUCGAACGGAGUUAUUGUUCUGAAUUUUUCGGAAGGAGGAAUAAUAACUUAGUGGCGGACGGGUGAGUAACGCGUGAGUAACCUGCCUUUCAGAGGGGGAUAACGUUUGGAAACGAACGCUAAUACCGCAUAACAUAACGAGGUCGCAUGGCUUUGUUAUCAAAGGAGCAAUCCGCUGGAAGAUGGACUCGCGUCCAAUUAGCUAGUUGGUGAGGUAAAGGCCCACCAAGGCGACGAUUGGUAGCCGGACUGAGAGGUUGAACGGCCACAUUGGGACUGAGACACGGCCCAGACUCCUACGGGAGGCAGCAGUGGGGAAUAUUGCACAAUGGGGGAAACCCUGAUGCAGCGACGCCGAGUGAGGGAAGAAGGUUUUCGGAUUGUAAACCUCUGUCCCGGUUGAAGAUAAUGACGGUAGACCGGGAGGAAGCUACGGCUAAUUACGUGCCAGCCGCCGCCGUAAAAC
rnacentral:rRNA from 1 species